AAAUAUGAUAUUUUUUUAAUUUCCCUCAUUUUAGUUUUCCUUCAGACCAGAACAUUCUCAUCACUUCUCUCUCCCUCUCCCUCUCCCUCUCUCACAAUUUUAGGAUUCUCUCUCGCUGGACCAUUCAAGAGCUCCAGCUCCUUGUUCGCUAGAAGACUAUUGCUCCAGCCCUAUUUCUUCAAAGUUGAAUGCUCAGUGACAGUCCCAAGGGAAUCAAUGCCGGGGAUAUUAAGAAGUUUGAAGACGCUAGGAUCUACACCUGCAAUGGCUUGAUGAUGCAUAUGAAGAAGAACUUUACUGGAAUCAAAGGUUUAUCUGAGGCUAAAGUUGAUAAGAUAUGCGAAGCUGCUGAAAACCAUUUCAGCUAAGAGAUUUUAUAUCUCAUAUGUGUUCUUUUAUUAGGAAACACUUCAUAGACAAAUUCAACUUGUUAUUCAUAGUUUGAGAGAGAUGGCUCUGACGGGUUCCAGAAUACCCAUCAAAUGCAACAAUUUCAAUAUGCAUAAUUUAGUAUAGAUCAGUGAGUUAUGGCUAUAAGGCUAAGCAUAUCUUGGCCAGGUUGUAUUCAUUCUAGAGUCGCAAAGAAAAAACUUCUUUUGGAUGAUAUGGCAGCAGAGGAAACAUUAGAGGUGGCAGAUCAAGUGUCAGUUUCAUUCUUGUUAGAUGAUGUCUACUGCCAGUGCUAUCAUGAGGUUUUUGCAUAGGUUACGUUGUAGGUUUGGUAGCACUAUUAUGAGUGAAUGAGUUGGAGGUUGUGUACAAGUUAAUUGUAAAUUUGGCAGCACUAUUAUGUGUUUCUUUAAUACUUUAUAGAGUUUGUAUCUG